GUAAUAGCUCACUGGUCGAGUCGGCCCGCGCGGAAGAUGUAACGGGGCUAAACCAUGCACCGAAGCUGCGGCAGCGACACAAAGUGUUGUUGGGUAGGGGAGCGUUCUGUAAGCCUGCGAAGGUGUACUGUGAGGUAUGCUGGAGGUAUCAGAAGUGCGAAUGCUGACAUAAGUAACGAUAAUGCGGGUGAAAAACCCGCACGCCGGAAGACCAAGGGUUCCUGUCCAACGUUAAUCGGGGCAGGGUGAGUCGACCCCUAAGGCGAGGCUGAAAAGCGUAGUCGAUGGGAAACGGGUUAAUAUUCCCGUACUGGUGGUAACUGCGAUGGGGGAACGGAGAAGGCUAGGUUGUCCGGGCGACGGUCGUCCCGGUUCAAGCAGGUAGGCAGAGUGAUUAGGCAAAUCCGGUCACUUAAUGCUGAGAUGUGAUGACGAACCACCAAGGUGGUGAAGCAAUUGAUGCCCCGCUUCCAGGAAAAGCCUCUAAGCUUCAGGUUACCAACAAUCGUACCCCAAACCGACACAGGUGGUCAGGUAGAGAAUACUCAGGCGCUUGAGAGAACUCGGGUGAAGGAACUAGGCAAAAUGGUGCCGUAACUUCGGGAGAAGGCACGCUGGCGGUAGGUAAAGUCCCUCGCGGACAGAGCUGAAGCCAGUCGAAGAUACCAGCUGGCUGCAACUGUUUAUUAAAAACACAGCACUGUGCAAACACGAAAGUGGACGUAUACGGUGUGACGCCUGCCCGGUGCUGGAAGGUUAAUUGAUGGGGUCAGCCGUAAGGCGAAGCUCCUGAUCGAAGCCCCAGUAAACGGCGGCCGUAACUAUAACGGUCCUAAGGUAGCGAAAUUCCUUGUCGG
rnacentral:rRNA from 1 species